UUCCUCUUUAGUUGUUCACGUCAGAGUUAGGCAGAGAGAGGGAGCCUCGUUCAGCUCCUCCCCUCCACAUUUCCAUCAUGCAAAGGGCAACUCCCCCAAGAACAUCAUCUCAGACCUUCAAAAGAGAGAACCCAGGCCAUAAAUCGUCAUUCACCCUUCUCUUCUCACCUUUCCUCUCGUUCCUGGACACAUCAGUCUGUUUACGAGCCCCAAAACACCUAGUUAGAGACCUCCGAUCAAAAAAUUUUCUUCACCAAAGUUGUUCGUCUAUGUCUCCUAUAUCUAGCCUCAAAAUUUCAGCUCCAUUGGAGUCGAUUUGAGUCCUGUACACCCCUCGAAGCGGAAGCCGUUCUGAAACGAGCCUGUUCCGGAUUUCUGCUUGAAUUUCCUCUCUUGCUCUACCCGAAUCCCUCACAUCUUACUUGAGACUGAUACAAACACUUGUUUCUGUUGCACUUUACAUGUUUGAGAUUGAGCGAACUUCUUGGCCUGCGGCUGGACUCGAUCCAACCAGCUCCCUCAGCUCUCUUUCCUGUUGAAAUCCUCAAGAGAAACUCACCUUUUUGAUUAGUCUUUGGCUUGAUAUCUUGGUAGGAUCUUGUGAAGUGGUGGUUGCUACAAGGUUGCAUUGAGGCCAAGUGCUGCAAGAGAAAGCUCGAGUUCCAGGAGAGGUCAGUUCCUCCUUGAGCCACCGGUGGUGGGCAGUGUGCACCAUGCCCUUGUUUUCUCCCCUUUGUCUCUAGCCUUGUGAUUAUUGAAUUCCGAAAAGUGAUUGGCUAGAUGGACUGUUGUGAUGGAAGUGUGAAAGAUGAUCAAUUGCCGUGGGAUUGUAGUUACGUGGUAACGAUCACGUGGAAGCGCAAACCGGUUUUUAUCUACUUCUUUUAUUCAAAACGAUAACUCAUAUUUUUAAACUUAGAUAUGGGGGCGGGCAUGGGCAAUGACUAGAUGUAGGAGCCUAACCCCUACUUUAGUUUGUUUUGCAGGCUGUUGUUGUCGAAGCUUGGGUACGGAGGAUAAUCCUUGGAGGCCAAAUUUUGUUCUAUUUAAAGUUUAUUUCUUUUCGGCUUGCUUGAUUUCACUAAAUUUUUUGUAACAUUAUGUAUGGUUGAUGAUGUGUGUGAUUGCUUACCACCAAAGUGGAACCCUAGGGUUAGAACCUCCAUUUGAGUUUAGGUCCUAGUGGGGUAGACCUAGAAGACUCACGUAACUUACCAUUCAAUAAACUUAAUGCAAAGUUGGGCUAAGAACUAAAAAUUGACAUAGGUUCUAAAACUCAACACAACACCACCUUCCUUUCCUCUUCCUCGCCUAGUUCGUAAUCUUGUGAUUAUGAGCCAACCCCACUAUACAAGCCCAAAAAAUUUCGGGCUUAUAGAUUUCUUGUUCUCCAACCCAAAGGCCUUGUCUCUUUGAGGAAUUCUAGGCCCAAAACACUUGCUCUCUAAGUGUCGCGGGCGUAGGGUUCCUUGGGGAGGCGACGCUGUGGUAAUCGGGCCUCCGGGUCGCCACAAGAAUGUCUUUUUUGCCCUCAUUUUUAGGCUCACGUGAGUCACACGUGCUCACAGUUGACGGAGACGUGACGGAAGUUCACCAGAGGUACGACGAUAAUACGAAAAGUAAAGUCUAGGUAUCACAUUGAUAACAUUCAGAGUUCAGGUAUCAUUCUGAAAGUCACCAAAGUGUCCAGACACCGUUGGUGAAUUUUUCCCUUAAUUUUGCAGCUGUGCUUACUACUGAUAUACAACUCAUAGUUAGGCCUCAUCAUUUGACCCGCAGAUUAAGUGGGCAGAUGGAGGCUCGCAAGUCUGAUGGGUAAAAGUCUGGCCCGACCUGCAUAAAUGUCCGCAAAAGCCCGUCUCGAUGGGUAGAGAGAGGGCCAAGCUUGGUUUAGGGGUUUAAAACUCAGCUCAACCUCCGCCAACGGCCCUUAAAUACCGGGUCCGUAAGCCCACAAAUUAAAUAUUAUAUUAUGUGUAGUCAAUUAUAUAUAUUAUAUAUUCUUAAAACUUGUGUUGGAACCGGGCGUGAGGCUGAGGGGUUCCAACUUCCAAGCCCCUUUUAAAAAAAAAAAACUGUGUGAGCUAGCUAGUGCACUACUUUUGUUGCUUCCUGAGUUUGUAUUCUUAACGGUUAUGAAAGACCAAAACAACAUUCAAGCUUUGCAAUUAAUUUUGCAUCUGUGCUUACUACUGAUAUACAGCUCAUAUAUAGUAGUUCAAGAGCACUAAUAAAUGAAUAUAUUUUUUUGGUCUGAGGACCUCUGAUGUACCACCAAAGACAUAAAAAAUCUGGUUAAUGAACUUACGAUAAUUGCCUUUCAUUCUCUACAUGAAAACUCUUGUAUAAGAAUUUUAUGUCAGGCCCAGAGACAUUCAUCACUAUGCCAGAAAAGAAAAGAAAAAUAAUGAAUAUUAGUCAAGACUACCGUAUAUCUGCAAAUGGUUCCAGUUCAGUCUAAAAGUAAAUGCGCUAAUGUAUAUGUGUACCCUAGUUCAUACAAUAUUGUGGUGCGAACAAGGAAUAAUUAAGAAAUCGACAAGAUUGUUAUACAACAUGCAUAUGUCACAACUGAGUAGAUUAAUCUGAAUUCCGACAAAUUCUUACCUUAAAAUUUGAUUUA